UCCCAAACACAGUUCCACACCAAAGAAAAUUGGAACAAAUUGUUGACAUUUAUUUCUGGUCAUAAAGAGUACAGAAGCAGGGAAAAAUAUUUCUUUCCAGC
rnacentral:lncRNA from 1 species